rnacentral:tRNA from 1 species
AAAAAUUUAGUUAAUUUAUAACAUUAGUUUGUCAAACUAAAAUAACUUUAUAAUAAGUAAUUUUUA